AAAAUUAUUAUUUUUUUCAAUCACGUAUUUAUCCCUUUUGAUUCUUGAACAUUCUACUGUUUUGCCCAACGACGCUACAUUAUUCAAUAUUGGUCAUAUUUUAUGAUUUACAUAAUUACAUUUUCGUAAAUUAUAAAAAGAAGACAACUUUGGAUAUCAUUUGUUGACCCUGUCAGCCUCUGGAUCUGAUAUAGCUUCAACAAGUCGACUUUUAGUGGCUCUUGUAAGACUAUGUUUUCAAGCUAAACAAUGGGGAUUACUUAUUGAACUUAUUUUUCUGUUAAAAAAAAGAAAAUCUCAGUUGUAACUUGCGGUUGGAGCUAUGGUCACAGAAUUUUGUACGUUCAUUGACCAAAUGCCAGUCAAAAAUACAAAAUUGACGUUAAUUGAAUGUCUUAGAGUCGUUACCGAAGGAAAGGUAUCUAUGGAAUUGGAUAGAACUCGACUCACACAAAAGUUGGCUCAAAUUAAAGAAGAUUAAGGUGAUGUAACUGGUACUGAAAGUAUCAAUCAAGUAUUGCAGGUCAAGGAUUAUGAUCAGUGGCAUCUCGUGAUUUCCACCGAAAGUGGUGAACAAGAAAUUUUUAUAUAAAAUCAUAAUUAAACUCAUAAAAAAAAAAUGGGCAAUAAUGUUUCCUCAAUAUAUAAAGUGGUAAAUUUACUACCUAUGCCACCUUGGAUCUUUUUCCAAAGCGUAUCAAAUUAAUGAAUAAUUUUGGCUAGUUUCAUACCUGUAAAACGUUAUAAUAUAUUCUACUUUACUUUCAUCAAGCUUAGAUAACCACACACAUAGUAAUUUAUCGUAUGUUGCAUAAUACAGUAGGUAGUACAAUGUAAAACUUGAAAAAAUAUAAUAUAGUAAUAGUUUAUAUGGUUAUAAUAGAUUAGACCUAAUUUGAAAUUUGCCAAUAAUAACAUAAACAUGAAAUAUGAAAAUAUUGUAAAUUAACAAUUAUUGUUGAUAGUUAUAGAUUUAUUUAAAAGUAAGACUAACAAAAAUGAGUAAUCUUACACAGUAUAAUUCAAUUCAAUUUAUAAUAAAUUAUAAGAUGAUUCUCCUUCACUUGUCGUUAAUUGGGGGAUUAUUAGAAUUUUACUAGAUAUUUUACUAUAUGUUUAUUCCCUUUUUUAGCACAUUCUAUCAAAAUAUUAUUAUAUAUUAUAUUAUAUUAUAUUAUUAUUUAUUUGGUAAAUCUAAGUAUAAUAGGAGGGAAUCGUGGGUUAUUACUUAUGACUUGUAAAUAAUAAUUUAUUUGUCAUUUUGACAGAUUUAUACUGUGCACAUUUUUAAUUUACUUUUUAAC